rnacentral:rRNA from 1 species
AUUGAACGCUGGCGGCGUGCCUUACACAUGCAAGUCGAACGGUAACAGGUUAAGCUGACGAGUGGCGAACGGGUGAGUAAUGUAUCGGAACGUGCCCAGUCGUGGGGGAUAACUGCUCGAAAGAGCAGCUAAUACCGCAUACGACCUGAGGGUGAAAGCGGGGGAUCGCAAGACCUCGCGCGAUUGGAGCGGCCGAUAUCAGAUUAGGUAGUUGGUGAGGUAAAGGCUCACCAAGCCGACGAUCUGUAGCUGGUCUGAGAGGACGACCAGCCACACUGGGACUGAGACACGGCCCAGACUCCUACGGGAGGCAGCAGUGGGGAAUUUUGGACAAUGGGCGCAAGCCUGAUCCAGCCAUGCCGCGUGCGGGAAGAAGGCCUUCGGGUUGUAAACCGCCUUUGUCAGGGAAGAAAAGGUUCUGGCUAAUACCUGGGACUCAUGACGGUACCUGAAGAAUAAGCACCGGCUAACUACGUGCCAGCCGCCGCAGUAA